rfam:Bosea sp. TND4EK4 genome assembly, contig: Ga0136738_109
GGCGCAUUUUGCCCAGGCGGAGCUCGACCGCCGACAACGGUCAUGAUCGCCUCAAUUCACGAUCACCGCGGGGCAUUUGGGGUCUAGCCGAUCUGCAAUUUCCUGGCGAUCGCCCCG